rnacentral:lncRNA from 1 species
GGAGAGGACAUGGGGGCAGGAAAACUGGUGGAAUGAGAUGGACAUCAUGACCCUAGGUACACGUGUGACUGCACAUAAGGUGCGAUGCUACAUUAUGUACAGCCAGAGAAAUGAACAGUUGUGCUGCAGUUGUGUCCAGUGGAUCACGAUGCAUUCUGCUGUCAUGUGUACCUAAUCAGAAUUAAUUAAGUGAUUAAAAAAAAGAUAUGUGAAGUUCUAAUGGUUAAUUCUCAGAACACAACUUACUUACAGUUGGGACUUUUAGAUUUAACGAAGUUAAGGUCAUUAAGAUGGGACCUAAUCCAGUACGACUGGUGUUCUGGUACAAGGGUGAGUCGUGGACACAGAGGUGGUCUUCCACAUGAGGGGAUGGUCGGUGAGGAGGCAGAGGUUGGUGACUGAAGCCCCAGUGCUGGGAGGAGCCAUCUGCCCGGGAGCCUUCAGGGGGAGUGUGGGCGCAGGGCACCUGGAUUCCACACUUCUCCCCACUGUGAGAGAACAGCUCCUGUUGCAGCCAGAGAAAACUAACACAGGGACGUAAACCAGUAGGGGAUUCUUUAUUGUGCAGAGCUUGAGGUGUGGGACAGCCACCCACAGUGCCAUCAGGGCCUCCUGGGCUGGGAUGGCCACCCCCAACACCCUGAGCAGCUCCCUUGCUCCACAGUCCUGCACCCUGUUUGGGAUGGCUGUGCCACGUCAGCAUCUCAGGUUGAAGGGAGAGGAGGGUGGGGGGUGGGAGUGUCCUCAGGCUCCUCCCCAAAGCCCUCUGCUUAUGCAGAAAUCUUGAGGUGGUGCUCUCCUGGUGGCCAGGAGGCUGGGCACUGUAGUCCUCUUGCCAGGCACAUUGCUACUCCACGAUGAAUCAGGGGCUGUGAUGAGGGAGAAAGGGGGAAUGGACAGGGGAAAAGCAGAGGCACCCACCAGGAUGUUUAUCGCCUCAGGGCAAGAGGAGGAGCCUCAGAACUGCAGGAAGACCCUGAGGGCUCUGAACCUGCCUCUCUCGGCUAGCCCCCUCAGAGUUCCAGUUCUGGGGACCUGCUGGUUGCCACUGGAAAGUGCCCAAGGUCUUCAGGGGCCUGUGCACACCGAGCCUGGGGAGCCUCUUCUUGGUCUGGGUAACUCCAUCUCAAUCUUCUCCCCCCCAGGUCAGCUCAAGCCCUCCCUCUCUAGUCCAAGGCAGCCCAGGCCCCAGGGCCCCAGCUAGAUGGAAAUGAUUUAGGCAUUGCAGGUCAUGUUCAGAUUCUCACCCAGUGUAUGGAGGGAGACCCC